GCUAACGUAGCUCAGUUGGUAGAGCAACGGUUUCGUAAACCGUAGGUCGUGGGUUCGAGUCCCACCGCUAGCU
rnacentral:tRNA from 1 species